UACGUAGGGGGCAAGCGUUGUCCGGAAUCAUUGGGCGUAAAGCGCGUGUAGGCGGCCAGGUAAGUCCGUUCUGAAAGCCCGGGGCUCAACCCCGGGAGGCGGGAUGGAUACUGCUUGGCUCGAGUCCGGAAGAGGCGAGUGGAAUUCCCGGUGUAGCGGUGGAAAUGCGCAGAUAUCGGGAGGAACACCAAUGGCGAAGGCAGCUCGCUGGGACGGUACUGACGCUGAGACGCGAAAGCGUGGGGAG
rnacentral:rRNA from 1 species